AUACUUUAAUGUAUUAUGUUUAUGUUUUAUGUAUUUAGCAUUGGGAGAGUAUUAAAAAAGGAUCAAUAUCUGGUGAGGGACUCUGGACUAAGGAGAGAUUUAAUCAUGCUAGUGCUAUUAUCAAUAGUGACUCUACCUCACCUGCACUAGUUGUGAUUGGUGGACGGGAUAAUAACAAUCAACUAGUGACUGAAUGUUUAUUAUUUGAUGAUAUCACUACUGGUCAGUUCAGUUGUAAGAAGAUUCAUCUUCCUGAAUCUGUUACUGGUAGAUACUAUCAUUCACUCACAGCAGUCACAAUGUCACCACACUGUGUGUGGCUAGUAAUUGUUGGAGGAGGUGAAGAGGUUGUAUGGGAAGAUGUUGGAGGAGGAGUGGAGAAGCCGGUGAAUACAUUUAUCACUGAUACUAAUGGACUAACAAUGAUAAUUGAAUUAGUAUAUAUUGAAGCUGGUGAGUGGAUAGUACA